UGGGGAAUUUUGCGCAAUGGGGGAAACCCUGACGCAGCAACGCCGCGUGGAGGAUGAAGUCCCUUGGGACGUAAACUCCUUUCGACCGGGACGAUAAUGACGGUACCGGAAGAAGAAGCCCCGGCUAACUUCGUGCCAGCAGCCGCGGUAAUACGAGGGGGGCGAGCGUUGUUCGGAAUUAUUGGGCGUAAAGGGUGCGUAGGCGGUUCGGUAAGUUUUGUGUGAAAUCUUCGGGCUCAACUCGAAGCCUGCACAAAAUACUGCCGGGCUUGAGUGUGGGAGAGGUGAGUGGAAUUUCCGGUGUAGCGGUGAAAUGCGUAGAUAUCGGAAGGAACACCUGUGGCGAAAGCGGCUCACUGGACCACAACUGACGCUGAUGCACGAAAGCUAGGGGAGCAAACAGGAUUAGAUACCCCCGUAGUCC
rnacentral:rRNA from 1 species